AGGUCCAGCUUUUGUUUCAUCAAUAACCCGAAGUCUUUCUCGGCAGGGCUGCCCUCAAUAAUUUCGUCUUCCAAUCUUACACCUAACUGAGACUUCUAAAUGCAAGAUCUUGCACAUUGGCCUCACUGAAACUCAUACAUUUCAGAAGGAAGAAACAGAGCUCGGAACAUUGUUUGCAGAUGAAAACUGCAAAGAAACAAACUCUACCCCAAUUCGUAUUUCUAUUCAGGUAGAAAUGAGAAAAAUAACUUUGAGAAGAGGCCAUCUACACAGACCCUAUGAAAUCCAAACUAAUGUGAAAAUUUACAGCACAAUUCAUCCAAAGCUCAGGGCAAACUGAAGAUGGAAAUAAUACGGAUUAGGACUGAUAAAGAUACAUAUAUCAAAAGAUAUUUUGAACAAGGCUAAAGCCAUUUAAAUCUCAUUCAGCAUUCUUUCAUUUCUUCUUUCAAAAGAGUCAAGAAGUGUCCCCAGGUAACAAAGGAGCAUCCCUUCCAUUGGCUUCUUUCAGGACUGGGAAUAAAUCAGACCACCCAGAAUCAGAACCUUGAAGAAAAAGAUCUCUUCACUGAAGAGAAGAUUAUUACAGGCUCCUUUCCAAGUAGGAAGUGACCUUUAAAAAUAAUCUUUAACAAACCAUUCAUGCAUCACUAACUUAAACAAACUCUAUAGCUUUAGCUAAACCAGAGAGUAUAUUUCCUUCCUGAUGAUUUUUAGCCAAUUAUCCAUUGCAACAGAGGGGAAGUGGAAGAUCCUCAAAGGAAGUAAGCGACCGAUGUAACAUGUUUGGAAAGUUAUUCUAAUUUAUGUAAACAUUAUCCCUUAAUAAACUAAACCUCAGCCAAAUAAGGGGCAUCAAGCAUAUUAAUAACCAACAUUUUUAUUGAGCAAAGCUGGACAUGUCACAAUAUGGACACUUUUUCAAAACAGAAGAUAGGAUUCUAUACAGUCCUGAAGUCCCUUUGCUCCCAGUAAAUUCACUGGCAGCUAAGGAACUCCCUGAGAAGACUGUAAUUUGGUGCGCAGAACAUGGACUCUCCAAGCAUUCCAGAGUGGGAGUACUUCAAAACCCUUUCAUUUACAGUGGACACUACAGUUCUUUUUCUCUUCAGUAGCUACUGCAUGCAAUCUUUAAAAGAAAAUGGCAAAUUAAAAGAACUGAGCAAAAAUUGUUUACCUUUUCUAAGGACUUAAAAUUGGUUAGAAGUCUGUAGAAGCAAAUGGGAAAAUGUAAAGAUAUAAGUGUUCUGCUUCAGUACCUAGACAGUAUUUCUAUGGGGUCCAUGAAAGAUUACUGAAAUGGGAUUUUUAUUGGCAGACCGAAGUUCAAUGUAAGGACUUCAGACCACCAACGGAAUGGUUUUUUUAGACCUUUACAUGUCCAAAAAAGCAUGCAAAUAUGCAAAUCUUUCUUGUAGGAAAACCUUACUCUUCAGUAGCAUUGCAAAGCCCUGUGGAAUGAAAAGAAUCAAAGAGUAGGCUGUUUUUUUCUUGUAGCAUUACCUACUGUGGACAUCUCCAUGUUGAUCAUGGAUUUCUCUGGAAAACUGCAAAUUAACAUAUUAGAUUCUGAUUAUUUUUUUAGCACAACAAAGAUCUUGUUUUUACUACAAAACCAAAUCAAUCUUAAGUCAAAUGUAGGUCCUACACCCAUCUCUAUCCUUGCAUAGAAAACUUUCAUGCAUGUACAGAAAAGAAUCUGUAGCUAGAAUCUGUAGCUAAAGGAUCUGGAUCAGGCCCUGGGCAACCUGAUGUAGCUUUGAUGGCCCUGUUCAUUGCAAGGGAGUUGGACUAGAUGACCUUUAAAUGUCCCUUCCAAUUUUAAGGAUUCUAUGACUCUAUACUUGUAACUUGAACGGAUCCAAACUUGUUUUCUAAUCAAUGGGUACUGUACAGUCCAUGUUGCAUUCAUUAAAUUCUCUUCCUCUGCAAAUGCAGGACUAAUGGAAAAAAAUCUAUAAAAUUGGCCCAGGAAGCUGCAUGAGAAGAAAUGAGUAGUGUACCAAGAGGCAUGGGCCAACCUCACAGCUGAGCAAAAGGGACAAUCAUAUUCCAGUGCCCAGGAACACUCCCAGACACUUCAAUUUACCAGAAUAAAGCUUAUA
rnacentral:lncRNA from 7 species